rnacentral:antisense_RNA from 1 species
CUUCACCGACCCCAACAACAGCGGCCGUUCACGAUCCUGACCAUAGGUGGCAAGAAGCGCCUGCGCCUC